CUCUUCAGCAUUUUGCUGAAGGAGAUGAAACUUCCCGCCUAGCAGGUGUAUGGUAAGCAGAGCCUCGUGACUCUUACAAACAAGCGGCAAUGUCAGAAGCCGAAACUGUCCAGCUCCUGCAUCUACCUCUUAGAGAACAGCCUUGUUUUCCUUUACCCCGUGUAAAGGAAAGGACUUUAUUGUCCCUACGGAUUAGAGGAAUCGUUUACUCCCCCGUAUUUGAUAGGGAAUUUGCAUCAAGAACGUUGCCAGCGGGGUGACCGCACCUCUCUGCUUCUCUCCGUCCAUCCUUUCAUUUUAUCCUCGAUCCAGUAUCUGGAAUCCCGCGUCCCAAGGGCCAAGCGGGAGGGGAAAUCCUCCCGAAGCCCAGUCACUUCCUCGCCUAAAAGAGGAGUGCUCAGAGAGAAUGUAGAAUUGCCUUUAAUCCUAGAGCUCUGGAUGAACAACGGAAACAGCCUCUGCUCUGAAGAAGUUUGAGCCCCCCUGUCCUUGAAGACCUUCGGAUGUCAAGCUUUCUGUGUCCACAUUGUGACUGAUGCAAUGACCCAAGUUCCCCACCAUAUUGCAGUAGAGGAAUGGGAGAGGGUUCCACCCACUGCACAGCAUCCUCUUCCUCCCUACAGACUAUCUACGUGUCCAUCCAUUCAACCAUUUAUCCAUCUGUCCUGGAAGUUAAAGCCGAGACUCACUUGUACCUGGAGCAGCAGAAAGGAGUUCAGGCUUCUGCCAGGAAUAAAUGCAGACACCACCAGGAGCAGCAGCGCUCCAAAUCAUCAUUUCUUGAUUCUAUGGCGACAUUCAUUCAAAU
rnacentral:lncRNA from 1 species